GUAGAAGCACGGUGGCUAGGAAAAACUCCCUAGAAAGGCCAAAACCUAGGAAGAAACCUAGAGAGGAACCAGGCUAUGAAGGGUGGCCAGUCCUCUUCUGGCUGUGCCGGGUGGAGAUUAUAACAGCACAUGGCCUAGAUGUUCAAAUGUUCAUAAAUGACCAGCAUUGUCAAAUAAUAAUAAUCCUAGUAGUUGUCGAGGGUGCAACAAGUCAGUAACACAAGAGUAAGUGUCAGUUGGCUUUUUCAUAGCCGAUCUUUGAGAGUAUCUCUACCGCUCCUGCUGUCUCUAGAGAGUUGAAAACAGCAGGUCUGGGACAGCUAGCACGUCCGGUGAAUAGGUCAGGGUUCCAGCAGGUCUGGGACAACAGGUCUGGGACAGGUAGCACGUCCGGUGAACAGGUCAGGGUUCCAUAGCUGCAGGCAGAACAGUUGGAGCUGGAGCAGCAGCAGGGCCAGGUGAACUGGGGACAGCAAGGAGUCAUCAAGCCAGGUAGUCCUGAGGCAUGGUCCUAGGGCUCAGGUCCUCCGAGAGAGAGAAAGAAAGAAAGAGAAAGAGAGAAUUAGAGUGAGCAUAUUUAAAUUCACACAGGACACCGGAAAAGACAAGAGAAAUACUCCAGAUGUGACAGACUGACCCUAGCCCCUCGACACAUAAACUACUGCAGCAUAAAUACUGGAGGGAUAUCUCCAACCACCAACAUACCAUCCCGGGACAAGGCCGAGUAUAGCCCACAAAGAUCUCCGCCACGGCACAGCCCAAGGGGGGGCACCAACCCAGACAGGAAGACCACGUCAGUGACUCAACCCACUCAAGUGACGCACCCCUCCCAGGGACGGCAUGGAAGAACACCAGUAAGCCAGUGACUCAGCCCCCGUAAUAGGGGUAGAGGCAGAGAAUCCCAGUGGAAAGAGGCGAAACAGUCCAGGCAGAGACAGCAAGGGCGGAUCGUUGCUCCAGCCUUUCCGUUCACCUUCACACCCCUGGGCCAGACUACACUUAAUCAUAGGACCUAUUGAAGAGAUGUGUCUUCAGUAAAGACUUAAAGGUUGAGACUGAGUCUGCGUCUCUCACAUGGGUAGGCAGACUAUUCCAUAAAAAUGGAGCUCUAUAGGAGAAAGCCCUGCCUCCAGCUGUUUGCUUAGAAAUUCU
rnacentral:lncRNA from 1 species